CAGCCGCCGCGGGAAUACGGAGGGUGCAAGCGUUAAUCGGAAUUACUGGGCGUAAAGCGUGCGUAGGCGGUUUGUUAAGUCUGUUGUGAAAGCCCCGGGCUCAACCUGGGAAUGGCAAUGGAUACUGGCGAGCUAGAGUGUGUCAGAGGAUGGUGGAAUUCCCGGUGUAGCGGUGAAAUGCGUGGAGAUCGGGAGGAACAUCAGUGGCGAAGGCGGCCAUCUGGGACAACACUGACGCUGAGGCACGAAAGCGUGGGGAGCAAACAGGAUUAGAUACCCCGGUAGUCCCUGUCUCUUAUAC
rnacentral:rRNA from 1 species